UACCCUACACAAGUGGUUCUUGACUAAAUGU
rnacentral:piRNA from 1 species